rnacentral:rRNA from 1 species
GACGAACGCUGGCGGCGUGCUUAACACAUGCAAGUCGAACGGAGAGACCCAGCUUUUGUGGGGUGCUCGAGUGGCGAACGGGUGAGUAACACGUGAGUAACCUGCCCUUGACUUUGGGAUAACUUCAGGAAACUGGGGCUAAUACCGGAUAGGAGCUCCUGCUGCAUGGUGGGGGUUGGAAAGUUUCGGCGGUUGGGGAUGGACUCGCGGCUUAUCAGCUUGUUGGUGGGGUAGUGGCUUACCAAGGCUUUGACGGGUAGCCGGCCUGAGAGGGUGACCGGCCACAUUGGGACUGAGAGACGGCCCAGACUCCUACGGGAGGCAGCAGUGGGGAAUAUUGCACAAUGGGCGGAAGCCUGAUGCAGCAACGCCGCGUGCGGGAUGACGGCCUUCGGGUUGUAAACCGCUUUCGCCUGUGACGAAGCGUGAGUGACGGUAAUGGGUAAAGAAGCACCGGCUAACUACGUG